CCUACGGGUGGCAGCAGUGGGGAAUAUUGCACAAUGGGGGAAACCCUGAUGCAGCGACGCCGCGUGAGUGAAGAAGUAAUUCGUUACGUAAAGCUCUAUCAGCCGGGAAGCAACACUGACCUUACGGUCAGCAGACGGUACCUGAGUAAGAAACCCCUGCUAACUACGUGCCAGCACCCGCGGGAAUACGUAGGGGGCAAGCGUUAUCCGGGUUUACUGGGUGUAAAGGGAGCGGAGACGGUGCGCCAAGAAUGGAGUGAAAUGCCGCAGAUUAACUGCGGAACUGCUUUGGAAACUGGCGGACUAGAGUGCGGGAGGGGUAAGCGGAAUUCCUAGUGUAGCGGUGAAAUGCGUAGAUAUUAGGAGGAACACCGGUGGCGAAGGCGGCUUACUGGACCGUAACUGACGUUGAGGCUCGAAAGCGUGGGGAGCAAACAGGAUUAGAUACCCCUGUAGUC
rnacentral:rRNA from 1 species